rnacentral:rRNA from 1 species
AGAGAGAGACAUGCGCGCAUAUCAAUAAGCGGAGGAAAAGAAACUAACAAGGAUUCCCUUAGUAACGGCGAGUGAAGCGGGAAGAGCUCAAAUUUGAAAUCUUCAAGGGUUUACCUUUACGAAUUGUAGUUUAAAGAAGUGUUUUCUGUUGAAGGUUUUGGUAAAAGUUCUUUGGAAUAGGACAUCAUAGAGGGUGAGAAUCCCGUAUUUGACCUUUACUUUCAACUUUGUGAUACACUUUCAAAGAGUCGGAUUGUUUGGGAAUGCAGUCCAAAAUGGGUGGUAAAUUUCAUCUAAAGCUAAAUAUUGGCGAGAGACCGAUAGCGAACAAGUACCGUGAGGGAAAGAUGAAAGGAACUUUGAAAAGAGAGUUAAACAGUACGUGAAAUUGUCAAAAGGGAAGCGUUUGACACCAGUGUUGUUUUUCUGAAAAUCAAUUAAAGAACUGUUUAUGCUAAGUUGUUUAGACUUUAUCAGCUAACUGUUUAGUUUUGAGCUUUUCUUUAAUGCACUUUUCAGUUAACAAGUCAACAUCAAUUUCUUUUGCUGUAAAAAAGCUUGAGGAAGGUGGCUUGAGAUUCGUCUUAAGUGUUUAUAGCCUCUUGCCUAUGCAGUCGGAGAGAUUGAGGUCUGCAGCGUAGAUCCUUCGGGGCUAAAUGCAUUUGUGCUAAGUUAUAGCAUUUUAUAGACAACUUGUUGACUAUGAUUUGUCUUGUAGCUUACUCGCUUAUGUUAUUUUACCUACGCUUAGGAUGUUGAGCGCAUGUCUCUCUCU